rnacentral:rRNA from 1 species
AACGAACGCUGGCGGCAUGCCUACACAUGCCAGUCGAACGAGACCUUCGGGUCUAGUGGCGCACGGGUGCGUAACGCGUGGGAACCUGCCCUUAGGUUCGGAAUAACUCCCCGAAAGGGGUGCUAAUACCGGAUAAUGUCUUCGGACCAAAGAUUUAUCGCCUUUGGAUGGGCCCGCGUUGGAUUAGCUAGUUGGUAGGGUAAAAGCCUACCAAGGCGACGAUCCAUAGCUGGUCUGAGAGGAUGAUCAGCCGCACUGGGACUGAGACACGGCCCAGACUCCUACGGGAGGCAGCAGUGGGGAAUAUUGGACAAUGGGCGAAAGCCUGAUCCAGCAAUGCCGCGUGAGUGAUGAAGGCCUUAGGGUUGUAAAGCUCUUUUACCCGGGAUGAUAAUGACAGUACCGGGAGAAUAAGCUCCGGCUAACUCCGUG